rnacentral:lncRNA from 1 species
AUUCUGUUUCUAUCUUGGUCUUGCCCUGCACACUCAGUUUUGGUAUUUUAAAGGAUUUGCUAAUAAUGUUCCUUUAGAAUCGUUUUGUGGAUCUGUCUUUCCCUUCCUUCUUUCCUUUGUGAGGGUUGUCUGGCAUCUUUUUUUUACUCCCUGGCUGGUUAUUCACAAACCAGAGGAACAGUCCUCAUGUACAUCAAACUUACCUCUCAACUCUCCAGGUGCUAAACCUUCUCAUGGAGAAGAACAAACUUGACUGCUAGCCCAUUCUGCAGCAGAAUUCUGAGAGCUAGGGCAGGCUCUGUUACAGGUCAGGAGAAUUGGCCUGAUUAGAAACCAUUUGAGGUAGGGAAUGGGGGCUCACACCUGAAUCCCAGCACUUUGGGACACUGAGGCCAGGAGUUGGAGACCAGCCUGGUCAAUACAUGAGACCCUGUCUCUACAAAAAAAAAAAAAAAAAAAAAAAAAAAAAAAAUUUUUAAAACAUAAAAAAAAAAAAAAAAAAAAAAAGGCUAGGUGGACUUGAGAAUAUGGACUCAGUGGUCAGGGAUGCAAUUC